rnacentral:lncRNA from 1 species
AUUUUGCUGGUAGAGAUGCCAUCUGGAGACCGCAGCGCUCCUCUUUCCUCGGCCUAGGCUGCUGUGGGGCGGGGGAUGGGGCCUGGGGCCUGGGCCAGGUAGGCGGGCGUGAGCCGGGGGCGAGCGGCGGUGCGGCCUGGUGGCCCCGACGUUAGCGGCGCAUGUGUUAAAACCAGGCACAGCAUUAAGGCAUGGUAGUGACAACACGUGUCUAGCACAACCCCUCCUGAAGGUGGCUCCCCAUGGACUCUGCAAGCCAUCUAUUCUCAACAUAUUGUACCAUCUUGGAGCUGAUCACACUGAGGAAGUGCACAGAACAAGGGCAGGAGCAGGUGCUGGAUCCCACAGAGACUUUUUCUACCCUCCUUUUCCACUCCAACCUUCCUUGGAACUUUGAGUGGAAUCAAAGGAGGAGGCACUGCAUGUGUAGCUGCCCAAAGUCUAGAUGUCACUGUUCUCUGCUGUCACCCAAAAGGAGUGAACAGCACCCAGACAGGAGAUGGCCCAAGGCUUACAUGUGUAUAACGUGCCACUGUCUCAGGGACUGACUCUCAGUGAACCCUGAUGUCUUGAUCCACUCAGCACACCACCAUUCAGUAUUGAAAACUGGGGUUGAGUGAGUCCCUUGUACAUGGCCAGGACCUGAAUCCGCAGGUGGUCAAGUCUCUCUGGGCUGCUAAGGUAAGAACUCACCUCAGCUUUGGUGCCUCUGGGGCUGAGAAUUCAGCCCUAGAAAAGUCCAGAGAGAAGUGG